GCAGUUCCCGAGGCCGGGCCUGCAGCAGACCCCGCAGCAGCAGCAGACGGCGGCGCUGGUCCGGCAGCUCCAGAAGCAGCUCUCCAGUAACCAGCCACAGCAAGGUUACCCCACUUCUGACCGUGGCUGGGGGGGGCCCAGGGGACCUUUGCACUGAGGAACAGGACUCUGGAAAUUCAAUGUACUGCUCAUGAUCAGACAGCAGGCUUGAGAUCUCUUCUUACUUCCAUCAUUAUUUUUUGUGCUGCAGUUGAUGUGAAUAUGUAUCAAGGUGGGUUUGGGUUUGGGGUUAUUUUUGCAUUUAACUAGAUUUCAAUGUAUGGACUUGUGGACCUAUAUGAAGAAUGUUAUCACAGAUUUUAUGAGUUUGGUGCUUUUUAGGUCCUGUUACUUUUAAGGAGGACAAAGAAUGCUGGAUUUAUUUAUUUAUUUAUUUGUGGGGGAAACCAUUUUUUUUU